rnacentral:rRNA from 1 species
UAGGGAAUCUUCCACAAUGGACGCAAGUCUGAUGGAGCAACGCCGCGUGAGUGAAGAAGGUUUUCGGACCGUAAAGCUCUGUUGUUGGUGAAGAAGGAUAGAGGUAGUAACUGGCCUUUAUUUGACGGUAAUCAACCAGAAAGUCACGGCUAACUACGUGCCAGCAGCCGCGGUAAUACGUAGGUGGCAAGCGUUGUCCGGAUUUAUUGGGCGUAAAGCGAGCGCAGGCGGAGGAAUAAGUCUGAUGUGAAAGCCCUCGGCUUAACCGAGGAAUUGCAUCGGAAACUGUUUUCUGAGUGCAGAAGAGGAGAGUAGAACUCCAUGUGUAGCGGUGGAAUGCGUAGAUAUAUGGAAGAAUACCAGUGGCGAAGGCGGCUCUCUGGUCUGCAACUGACGCUGAGGCUCGAAAAGCAUGGGUAGCGAACAGGAUUAGAUACCCUGGUAGUCCAUGCCGUAAACGAUGAGUGCUAAGUGUUGGGAGGCUUCCGCCUCUCAGUGCUGCAGCUAACGCAUU